rnacentral:rRNA from 1 species
GAUGAACGCUGGCGGCGUGCCUAAUACAUGCAAGUCGAGCGAACAGACGAGGAGCUUGCUCCUCUGACGUUAGCGGCGGACGGGUGAGUAACACGUGGAUAACCUACCUAUAAGACUGGGAUAACUUCGGGAAACCGGAGCUAAUACCGGAUAAUAUAUUGAACCGCAUGGUUCAAUAGUGAAAGACGGUUUUGCUGUCACUUAUAGAUGGAUCCGCGCCGCAUUAGCUAGUUGGUAAGGUAACGGAUUACCAAGGCGACGAUGCGUAGCCGACCUGAGAGGGUGAUCGGCCACACUGGAACUGAGACACGGUCCAGACUCCUACGGGAGGCAGCAGUAGGGAAUCUUCCGCAAUGGGCGAAAGCCUGACGGAGCAACGCCGCGUGAGUGAUGAAGGUCUUCGGAUCGUAAAACUCUGUUAUUAGGGAAGAAAAAAUGUGUAAGUAACUAUGCACGUCUUGACGGUACCUAAUCAGAAAGCCACGGCUAACUACGUG